UACGUAGGUGGCGAACGUUAUCCGGAAUAACUGGGCGUAAAGGGUCCGCAGGCGGCCUUGAAGGUCUGGCGUGAAAGCCCUCGGCUAAACUGAGGGAGUGCGUUGGAAACCGCGAGGCUAGCAUCAUGCAGGGGCUGGUGGAAUUCCCGGUGUAGUGGUGGAAUGCGUAGAGAUCGGGAGGAACCUCUAGAGCGAAGGCAACCGGCUAGGCAAUGAUGGACGCUGAGGGACGAAAGCGUGGGGAGCGAACAGG
rnacentral:rRNA from 1 species